rnacentral:sRNA from 1 species
AGCUGAUGCACAUGGCGGCUCCUCCCAGUUCCGCCGCAGCAGCUGUUCCCCUCUGGAGGUCCAUGACCUUCACACUUUAUGGGCCGCGGUUUUCCGUCGGCCCUUUUUU